rnacentral:lncRNA from 1 species
AAUAAGCGAACUUGUUAAUGAAACUGAAGUUGUAAAACAGUUAGGAGAAUGCCAUGGUUUUAUUCUGUUCAGUGUUGAACGUGCCCUGUAUCAUCACUUCAAGGGGAACUCUAUGAGGGAAGCUUGCCUAUACUACCUUGACCACCUCGCUUGUAUUGAAGAUCAACUGCAAGAAUGCAGGUUCAUGCCGACGGUACUAAAGCUAGGGCGCAUCCGAAGACACACCCAACUUCUGGACAGCAGUUAUAAAAAAUACUGUUCCUUUUUAAUGAAAGGAAAAAAUGAGUGUACCACCAAGCUGCUCCCUGGAAAGUAUGAACAGUGCCUAGG